rnacentral:ncRNA from 1 species
AGGUCAGUCCCGAACUGUCACCGUCAUGGUGAGCGUGCCUAGGACAUCUGGGAUAGGGACUGGCUUCGAC